AGAUAAUGACAAUAUUGAAGAGAUAGAGGUGGAAGUGGCAGAGCCUGCAAAUGAAGAUGUACCAAACAUCGUCAUGGCAGUGCGCCCAUCAUUCCAACAACCACAAAUGCCAGGCGAGAAAGACGAUAGAUGGUUUGUGUGCCUGGGCAGCAGAGGAGAAGCAGGAGAGAUAAUAAAUAUUCUUUUGCCAUGUGAUCAUGGGUGGUGCUGCGAUACGUGUGGCCGACGGCUGGAGGAAUGUCCAAUU